rnacentral:rRNA from 1 species
GACGAACCGUACGAACGUUAUUCGGAAUCACUGGGCUUAAAGGGUGCGUAGGCGGCGCGACAAGUUGGGUGUGAAAUCCCUCGGCUCAACCGAGGAACUGCGCCCAAAACUGUCGUGCUCGAGGGAGACAGAGGUGAGCGGAACUUAGGGUGGAGCGGUGAAAUGCGUUGAUAUCCUAAGGAACACCGGUGGCGAAAGCGGCUCACUGGGUCUCUUCUGACCGCGUGAGCACGAAAGCUAGGGUAGCGAACGGG